rnacentral:rRNA from 1 species
UACGUAGGGUGCGAGCGUUGUCCGGAAUUAUUGGGCGUAAAGGGCUCGUAGGCGGUUUGUCGCGUCGGGAGUGAAAUCCACUGGCUUAACUGGUGGCUUGCUUUCGAUACGGGCAGACUGGAGGUAUGCAGGGGAGAACGGAAUUCCUGGUGUAGCGGUGGAAUGCGUAGAUAUCUGGAGGAACACCGGUGGCGAAGGCGGCAUCCUGGACCAACACUGACACUGAGGAGCGAAAGCCAGGGGAGCAAACGGG